rnacentral:rRNA from 1 species
UAUUGCACAAUGGGCGAAAGCCUGAUGCAGCAACGCCGCGUGAGGGAUUACGGCCUUCGGGUUGUAAACCUCCUUUAGUAGGGAAGAAGCGAAAGUGACGGUACCUGCAGAAAAAGCACCGGCUAAAUACGUGACAGCAGCCGCGGUAAUACGUAGGGUGCAAGCGUUGUCCGGGAUUAUUGGGCGUAAAGAGCUCGUAGGCGGUUUGUCGCGUCUGCUGUGAAAUCCCGGGGCUCAACCUCGGGCUUGCAGUGGGUACGGGCAGACUAGAGUGCGGUAGGGGAGAUUGGAAUUCCUGGUGUAGCGGUGGAAUGCGCAGAUAUCAGGAGGAACACCGAUGGCGAAGGCAGAUCUCUGGGCCGUAACUGACGCUGAGGAGCGAAAGCGUGGGGAGCGAACAG